GGAAACCGGAGACUAAUACCGGAUAAUAUUUUGAACCGCAUGGUUCAAAAGUGAAAGACGGUCUUGCUGUCACUUAUAGAUGGAUCCGCGCUGCAUUAGCUAGUUGGUAAGGUAACGGCUUACCAAGGCAACGAUGCAUAGCCGACCUGAGAGGGUGAUCGGCCACACUGGAACUGAGACACGGUCCAG
rnacentral:rRNA from 1 species